CCUACGGGAGGCUGCAGUGGGGAAUAUUGGACAAUGGGGGCAACCCUGAUCCAGCCAUGCCGCGUGUGUGAAGAAGGCCCUCGGGUUGUAAAGCACUUUCAGUGAGGAAGAACGCCUGGUGGUUAAUACCCAUCAGGAAAGACAUCACUCACAGAAGAAGCACCGGCUAACUCCGUGCCAGCAGCCGCGGUAAUACGGAGGGUGCGAGCAUUAAUCGGAAUUACUGGGCGUAAAGCGCGCGUAGGUGGCUUGAUAAGCCGGUUGUGAAAGCCCCGGGCUCAACCUGGGAACGGCAUCCGGAACUGUCAAGCUAGAGUGCAGGAGAGGAAGGUAGAAUUCCCGGUGUAGCGGUGAAAUGCGUAGAGAUCGGGAGGAAUACCAGUGGCGAAGGCGGCCUUCUGGACUGACACUGACACUGAGGUGCGAAAGCGUGGGUAGCAAACAGGAUUAGAUACCCUGGUAGUC
rnacentral:rRNA from 1 species